rnacentral:rRNA from 1 species
AUUGAACGCUGGCGGCAGGCCUAACACAUGCAAGUCGAGCGAGCGGCGGACGGGUGAGUAAUGUAUGGGGACUGCCCGAUAGAGGGGGAUAACUACUGGAAACGGUGGCUAAUACCGCAUACUAUCGGAUAACCCAUAUGGGAUUAGCUAGUAGGUGGGGUAAAGGCUCACCUAGGCGACGAUCUCUAGCUGGUCUGGGAGGAUAAUCAGCCACACUGGGACUGAGACACGGCCCAGAAUCCUACGGAGGCAGCAGUGGGGAAUAUUGCACAAUGGGCGCAAGCCUGAGGCAGCCAUGCCGCGUGUAUGAAGAAGGCCUUCGGGUUGUAAAGUACUUUCGGUGGGGAGGCGUUACUCACAGAAGAAGCACCGGCUAACUCCGUGCCAGCAGCCGCGGUAAUAC